UACAGAGGGUGCAAGCGUUAAUCGGAAUUACUGGGCGUAAAGCGUGCGCAGACGGUUGCGUAAGUCCGAUGUGAAAGCCCCGGGCUCAACCUGGGAAUUGCAUUUGAGACUGCGUAGCUAGGGUGCGGAAGAGGGAAGCGGAAUUUCCGGUGUAGCGGUGAAAUGCGUAGAUAUCGGAAGGAACACCAGUGGCGAAAGCGGCUUCCUGGUCCAGCACCGACGUUCAGGCACGAAAGCGUGGGGAGCAAACAGG
rnacentral:rRNA from 1 species